rnacentral:lncRNA from 7 species
GGAAGAAAAGGAAAAUCUAGGAAGAGAAGCAGGCGCACACACAAAGACAAAUUUCAUUAGGCUCUAAUCUCUGACGGGCAGCUCCUUUCCGACAAACACUCCCUUUCAGCCCACCGUGCUUUGCUGUUGUUUUGUUCCCACCCAAACGCAUCCUAUCCCAGGACAGCACGAAGCACCAGGUCGGACACCUCCAGUAAAUGCCACAUCCUGGCGUGAAGCGAAGAGAUGCUGAAAAGGAAGAGUGAAUUGAAAUGCCAUUUCCAGGCCCAGUGUGUCAGAGAUUCCUGGGAGCUCUCCGAGGUCUGCCUGGAGCAACCCAUUCCAACCUUGAGCAAGGCUUAGCCAAGAUGACCUGAGACCAUAGUGUUUCUUGUGCACACAAAGAGAUUAAAGCUACAAACAAGGUCAAAAUAACCAUUCUGAGUACUAAGAGAGCUCCAUCACAUCAACUUGCUGCAUAAUUCCCUUCUGUCAGACUGGCUUCAUAGGCUUGGAUUUUGUUGCCUGCCUCUCUCUACCAGACCCUUGCAAGCUACACAAGUGAAAUCUACAAGCAACGAAGAUUAAGUCCUAUGCUCUCAAGGAAAAGAUGAGAAAUUUGGUGCUAAAAAAUGGAAACUCUCCAGCAAUACCUAUGCUUACCUCUUGUCUCUCUAGAGGUGCCUUUACUGUCUCAUUAUAUGCUCCAGGAUUGUGUUUACUUGAGAGAACUGAGGGAAAUAGGCAGAACUGAGUGGUGAUGGGACUGUGGUCUUAUGCAGCCAUGUAUCUCUACAUGGAAGGCAUUAGGAGGAGGUGGGUCCAUUGCGUUUGCUCUCAGACCUUGGGAAAGAAGCCUGGGAGCUUCACAUCCCUCCAUGUGAGGAGGAGAUGGGAAACGCUCAGCACAGACUGCUCCGUCUUAAGGCUUUCCCAUCACACUGAUUUUAUUUGUGUUUUGAGAUAACUCAAGAUUCGCCGUGGCGUGCUUACAGAACCGUGGUUGUGCUGGGAAUCUCAGGCAGGGUCAGGGCAGGCAGUUUGCUUUGGCAGGCACGGUGUGAGCGCGUGGGGUGAGGGCUGACCACCGCCUUCACUCCACAUUGACGGGUUGGCCAUUUUCCUUGGGUGGUGGCCAGCCAUUCCUGCUCGAUUCACAUUACAGGGCUAUGUUUGCACUCUUCUCCAUCAUCCCAGCCAUCCAGAUGUGUGACAGACGCGCACACAUGCACUGUGGAUGCUGUAUUUUGGCUGCAGCUGAGGUAAAUAUUAUUUCUAUAUCAUGAGGAGGAUGAAAUAAUACCUCUGGAGGAUUUGGGAAAAAGACAGAGGAGUCUCAGUUUAUUAUGAGCACACUGUCAUGCAACAAGAAAUAAAGCAAGAGAAGAAA